GACGAACGCUGGCGGCGUGCUUAAUACAUGCAAGUCGAACGAUGAACCCGGAGCUUGCUCUGGGGGAUUAGUGGCGAACGGGUGAGUAACACGUGAGUAAGCUGCCCUGGACUCUGGGAUAAGCGUUGGAAACGACGUCUAAUACCGGAUAGGACCUUGGAUCGCAUGAUCUGGGGUGGAAAGUUUUUUCGGUCUGGGAUGGACUCGCGGCCUAUCAGCUUGUUGGUGAGGUAAUGGCUCACCAAGGCGUCGACGGGUAGCCGGCCUGAGAGGGUGACCGGCCACACUGGGACUGAGACACGGCCCAGACUCCUACGGGAGGCAGCAGUGGGGAAUAUUGCACAAUGGGCGAAAGCCUGAUGCAGCAACGCCGCGUGCGGGAUGACGGCCUUCGGGUUGUAAACCGCUUUUAGUAGGGAAGAAGGGCUUCGGCUUGACGGUACCUGCAGAAAAAGGACCGGCUAACUACGUG
rnacentral:rRNA from 1 species